ensembl:lncRNA
CUGUGCGUCUUUAGCGCGUCUCCGCUCCACUCGCGUAUUAACGCACGCGUCUGUCCCCAAACCCCAAACCGAACCGAACUAAACCCGAGUCCAGACCCGAGCCCGAACCCUGGAGCAGCUGUGACGGGACCAUAGCGGGACAAAGAGCAGGACAGACCCGAGGAGAGGACAGAGAAUGCGGCGGGGAUAGCAGCGCUGUAACGGUGUGCACGGAGUAAUCCCGUGUGCAUGGCUCUGCAGCGCCGCCUGCUGGUGGGGCUGGGGACCGCCUCCUCGGUCUUUAUCGUCUAUCUGCUGUGUCUGCGCCUCGACUCUCCGCUCAGUUUUGUCCGGCAAACAGAGACGAUCAGUUUUGGCGUGAAUUCUGUAGAAC